rnacentral:rRNA from 1 species
UGGGUAUGUUAAUAGCAUAUUCAUUUGACGUUAGCUGCAGAAGAAGCACCGGCUAACUCCGUGCCAGCAGCCGCGGUAAUACGGAGGGUGCGAGCGUUAAUCGGAAUUACUGGGCGUAAAGCGCAUGCAGGUGGUUUGUAAGUCAGAUGUGAAAGCCCGGGGCUCAACCUCGGAAUUGCAUUUGAAACUGGCAAACUAGAGUACUGUAGAGGGGGUAGAAUUUCAGGUGUAGCGGUGAAAUGCGUAGAGAUCUGAAGGAAUACCGGUGGCGAAGGCGGCCCCCUGGACAGAUACUGACACUCAGAUGCGAAAGCGUGGGGAGCAAACAGGAUUAGAUACCCUGGUAG